GGGCGGCGCGCGGGGACGCAGAGCAGCCACCUGACGCUGCUACCGCCCCCCUCCGGGCUCCGGCGCCCGAAACCUUCCUGAACACUGGCGCUUUCCGCACCGCCCCACCCCACCCCCGGAGCGGGAGAGCGAGCUCGGGAGUCCGAGCGCUCGGCAGGCUCCCGGAACGGCCUCAGCGACCCGGACCCGGCUGGGCGAGUUGGGGGAGCGGGCGGCCGCCUAGGGGAGCUUCCUUCAGGGCCGCUGAGCGCAGGAGGGGAGCCGCGAGCCCGCCACCGCUGCAAAGUUCUGGGGAAGGGACUGCACCUGGGCCUGCCAAGAAAGGACGAUUGUGUAAACAGGGUCAAAGAGCGGGGACCAGAAGUGCACCGCCCCGGAGUCAGCGGUUAGUGGUGGAGCGAAGUCUUGAGUGUUGA
rnacentral:lncRNA from 13 species